rnacentral:rRNA from 1 species
GAUGAACGCUAGCGAUAGGCCUAACACAUGCAAGUCGAGGGGCAUCACAUGAAGUAGCAAUACGGAUGGUGGCGACCGGCGCACGGGUGAGUAACACGUAUGCAACCUGCCUUCAACAAGGGGAUAACCCGUUGAAAGACGGACUAAUACCCUAUAACACAGGGGUCCCGCAUGGGAAUAUUUGUUAAAGGACAACCGGUUGAAGAUGGGCAUGCGUUCCAUUAGCUAGUUGGCGGGUAAGGCCCACCAAGGCAACGAUGGAUAGGGGAACUGAGAGGUUUAUCCCCCACACUGGUACUGAGACACGGACCAGACUCCUACGGGAGGCAGCAGUGAGGAAUAUUGGUCAAUGGACGCAAGUCUGAACCAGCCACGUCGCGUGAAGGAAGACGGCCCUACGGGUUGUAAACUUCUUUUGCAAGGGAAUAAAGUGGGCCACGUGUGGCCUUUUGCAAGUACCUUGCGAAUAAGGAUCGGCUAACUCCGUGCCAGCAGCCGCG